AUGAACGCUAGCGACAGGCUUAACACAUGCAAGUCGAGGGGCAGCACAGGUAGCAAUACCGGGUGGCGACCGGCGCACGGGUGAGUAACGCGUAUGCAACUUACCUAUCAGAGGGGGAUAACCCGGCGAAAGUCGGACUAAUACCGCAUGAAGCAGGGGCCCCGCAUGGGGAUAUUUGCUAAAGAUUCAUCGCUGAUAGAUAGGCAUGCGUUCCAUUAGGCAGUUGGCGGGGUAACGGCCCACCAAACCGACGAUGGAUAGGGGUUCUGAGAGGAAGGUCCCCCACAUUGGUACUGAGACACGGACCAAACUCCUACGGGAGGCAGCAGUGAGGAAUAUUGGUCAAUGGCCGAGAGGCUGAACCAGCCAAGUCGCGUGAGGGAUGAAGGUUCUAUGGAUCGUAAACCUCUUUUAUAAGGGAAUAAAGUGCGGGACGUGUCCCGUUUUGUAUGUACCUUAUGAAUAAGGAUCGGCUAACUCCGUGCCAGCAGCCGCGGUAAUACGGAGGAUCCGAGCGUUAUCCGGAUUUAUUGGGUUUAAAGGGUGCGUAGGCGGCCUUUUAAGUCAGCGGUGAAAGUCUGUGGCUCAACCAUAGAAUUGCCGUUGAAACUGGGGGGCUUGAGUAUGUUUGAGGCAGGCGGAAUGCGUGGUGUAGCGGUGAAAUGCAUAGAUAUCACGCAGAACCCCGAUUGCGAAGGCAGCCUGCCAAGCCAUGACUGACGCUGAUGCACGAAAGCGUGGGGAUCAAACAGGAUUAGAUACCCUGGUAGUCCACGCAGUAAACGAUGAUCACUAGCUGUUUGCGAUACACUGUAAGCGGCACAGCGAAAGCGUUAAGUGAUCCACCUGGGGAGUACGCCGGCAACGGUGAAACUCAAAGGAAUUGACGGGGGCCCGCACAAGCGGAGGAACAUGUGGUUUAUUUCGAUGAUACGCGAGGAACCUUACCCGGGUUUGAACGCAUUCGGACCGAGGUGGAAACACCUUUUCUAGCAAUAGCCGUUUGCGAGGUGCUGCAUGGUUGUCGUCAGCUCGUGCCGUGAGGUGUCGGCUUAAGUGCCAUAACGAGCGCAACCCUUGCCACUAGUUACUAACAGGUAAAGCUGAGGACUCUGGUGGGACUGCCAGCGUAAGCUGCGAGGAAGGCGGGGAUGACGUCAAAUCAGCACGGCCCUUACAUCCGGGGCGACACACGUGUUACAAUGGCGUGGACAAAGGGAGGCCACCUGGUGACAGGGAGCGAAUCCCCAAACCACGUCUCAGUUCGGAUCGGAGUCUGCAACCCGACUCCGUGAAGCUGGAUUCGCUAGUAAUCGCGCAUCAGCCAUGGCGCGGUGAAUACGUUCCCGGGCCUUGCACACACCGCCCGUCAAGCCAUGGGAGCCGGGGGUACCUGAAGUCCGUAACCGAAAGGAUCGGCCUAGGGUAAAACUGGUGACUGGGGCU
rnacentral:rRNA from 1 species